GAUUUCUGGUUAAGUAACGCUAGCCCGCCCUUGCCAGGGGUGUGCGCUGGUUAGUUGCUUGCCAUCUUUCUAGAAAGCCAGCGUUUGUCAUUCACUUGGCGGACGUGACGCGAUCUAGAUCUUUUACUUUGAAAAAAUUAGAGUGUUUAAAGCAGGCUUUUUGCUAUGAAUACAUUAGCAUGGAAUAAUAAUUUAGGACUUUGGCCCUAUUUUGUUGGUUUCUAGGACUGAAGUAAUGAUUGAUAGGGAUAGUUGGGGGUGCUCGAAUUCAGCGGCCAGAGGUGAAAUUCUUGGAUUCGCUGAAGACGAACUCAUGCGAAAGCAUU
rnacentral:rRNA from 2 species